UAGAGUUUUGAUCCUGGCUCAGGAUGAACGCUGGCGGCGUGCCUAAUACAUGCAAGUCGAGCGAACGGAUAAGGAGCUUGCUCCUUUGAAGUUAGCGGCGGACGGGUGAGUAACACGUGGGUAACCUACCUAUAAGACUGGAAUAACUUCGGGAAACCGGAGCUAAUGCCGGAUAACAUUUGGAACCGCAUGGUUCUAAAGUAAAAGAUGGUUUUGCUAUCACUUAUAGAUGGACCCGCGCCGUAUUAGCUAGUUGGUAAGGUAACGGCUUACCAAGGCAACGAUACGUAGCCGACCUGAGAGGGUGAUCGGCCACACUGGAACUGAGACACGGUCCAGACUCCUACGGGAGGCAGCAGUAGGGAAUCUUCCGCAAUGGACGAAAGUCUGACGGAGCAACGCCGCGUGAGUGAUGAAGGUUUUCGGAUCGUAAAACUCUGUUAUUAGGGAAGAACAAAUGUGUAAGUAACUGUGCACAUCUUGACGGUACCUAAUCAGAAAGCCACGGNCUAANNAAAG
rnacentral:rRNA from 1 species